AGAGUUUGAUCCUGGCUCAAAACGAACGCUGGCGGCGUGGAUAAGACAUGCAAGUCGAACGGGAUAACAUCUGUAGCAAUACAGGUGUUAUUUAGUGGCGAACGGGUGCGUAACACGUGGGCAAUCUGCCGAGAAGUGGGGGAUAGCUCGCCGAAAGGCGAAUUAAUACCGCAUAUGAUCAGUGAAGACAUCUUCACGACAUCAAAGCCGGGGCAACCUGGCGCUUCUUGAUGAGCCCGCGGCCUAUCAGCUAGUUGGUGAGGUAACGGCUCACCAAGGCUAUGACGGGUAGCUGGUCUGAGAGGACGACCAGUCACACUGGAACUGAGACACGGUCCAGACACCUACGGGUGGCAGCAGUCGAGAAUUUUUCUCAAUGGAGGAAACCCUGAAGGAGCGACGCCGCGUGGAGGAUGAAGGCUUUCGGGUUGUAAACUCCUGUCAUUUGAGAACAAGUUAGUGCGGUUAACUGCCGCAUUAUUGAUAGUACCAGAAGAGGAAGAGACGGCUAACUCUGUGCCAGCAGCCGCGGUAAUACAGAGGUCUCAAGCGUUGUUCGGAUUCAUUGGGCGUAGAGGGUGCGUAGGUGGCGCCGUAAGUCAGGUGUGAAAUUUCGGAGCUUAACUCCGAAACUGCAUUUGAUACUGCGGUGCUUGAGGACUGAAGAGGAGACUGGUAUUUCACGGUGUAGCAGUGAAAUGCAUAUAUAUCGAGAAGAACGACCAGUGACGAAGGCGGCUC
rnacentral:rRNA from 1 species